GUCCUCUUGUUUUAUAUAUGAGGUCUGACCUGCCCAGUGAAAAUUAUUUUAACGGCCGCGGUAUUUUGACCGUGCAAAGGUAGCAUAAUCAUUAGUCUUUUAAUAGGAGGCUGGAAUGAAGGGUUUGACGAGGUAUUGACUGUCUCAUUUAAUUUGAAAUUAAAAUUUAACUUUUCAGUUAAAAGGCUGAAAUUUUAUUGGAAGACGAGAAGACCCUAUAGAGCUUUAUAUUUAAAAUUAAUAAUAAAUUUUUGUUUAUUAUUAUUUCUUAUUAUUUUAAUUAUUUUGUUGGGGUGACAAAAAUAUAUAAAUAACUUUUUUAUUUAAAUAACAUUGAUUUAUGAUUAUUAGAUCCAGUCUUAUUGAUUGUUAGAUUAAGUUACCUUAGGGAUAACAGCGUAAUCUUCCUUCAGAGUUCAUAUUUACAGGAAGGAUUGCGACCUCGAUGUUGGAUUAAGAUAAUAAUUAGGUGUAGCCGCUUAAUAUAUAGGUCUGUUCGACCUUUAAAUUCUU
rnacentral:rRNA from 2 species